UACGAAGGGGGCUAGCGUUGCUCGGAAUCACUGGGCGUAAAGCGCACGUAGGCGGAUUGUUAAGUCAGGGGUGAAAUCCCGGAGCUCAACUUCGGAAUUGCCUUUGAUACUGUCUAUCUUCGAGUUCGGGAGAGGUUGGCGGAAUUCCUAGUGUAGAGGUGAAAUUCGUAGAUAUUAGGAAGAACACCAGUGGCGAAGGCGGCCAACUGGCCCGAUACUGACGCUCAUGUGCGAAAGCGUGGGGAGCAAACAG
rnacentral:rRNA from 1 species